CUGGCUCUGCACAGGCCCUGUUCUCUAAUCAGAUGAAGCUGCAGGAUUAUCUCUCUCCCUCCCUUCUAAGCUCCAUUUUAUUUCCUCUCCAGCCAAGGGGGAGGCAGGAAGGGGCGUCACCUCUAGGCAGAGGAAACCCCCAUCUCCCGGUCUCCUGCCUUUGAUGCUCUCUAGCAAUCCCCCCUCCUUCCCCUUAUAUACUUACCUUAGUGUUGCAUCAGGCGGAUCAAAGAGCCCAAUUUCUAAAGGAAAUCUGAACUUUUUUGGCUUUCAUUCUCCACAAGUUUCUCAGCAUCUAUUUUAAAUCCCCUCCAAGUAGCUUGGACAGGGAAGCUGGAUGUGCCAUCUGUGAGUAGGGGCAAGGAAUUUGGUUGUAGAUGCUAACAAUGAAGAUGCAUUGCUCGAAAUAGCAGCCCUGAAGACAACACGGUGUGAAUGUGCGGCAUUGUUUCUGCUACCAAAGAUCUCUCCCUUUUGCCAUGUCAGCUGACAGCCACCAGCUCCACACUCAUUCCCGCAGGGACACGCUAAGUUCUACUUGUCAUGGUCUCUUGAAUGUCAACAGUCACCCCUUGUCAAAGAGCUCCUCGAGUCUCAUUUGUGCUGGGCAUUCAAGUUUGGAAUGGCGAAGCAACAAACAGGAGCUUAAGAAAAGCCACAGCAGCACUGUCUGCCAAACCCUGGGACAUGAGAGCAAUGCCAGAAGUCUACCAAGUCCUAGAUGGUCCUUCUCACAGUCUGGGUUGAUGGGACUUGAAUCAGUGGUCCAAACCAUGAACAGUCAGUCCCCCGAUAACAAUUCACAGAGCAGAACUAAGACUACAAACCAUUUUCUUACCAUUGAACAGACCCCAGCAUCCUGGGAAGUGGGUGACACGGAGAUGUGUGUAAAGAGCAGUACUGUUGAGAAUGUUUCUUCAGCCUGUUUUAAGCACCAGCAAAGCAUGGGUAAAAUGGAUGAACCAAGAGCUGCUCUCCAGAGAAGCCACUCAGACCUAACCUGCAGUUGCAAACAGCAGAGUUAUGUCACUCACAUAGAAACCAGUGCUACUGAUUCCAGCCUUAGCUCUUCCAACAGCAGGCACGGUCCAUCAAUGGUGAAGAUGUCUUUCCAAGCAGAAAGAUGUGGAUCAGAAAUAAAUGAAAAUACUCACUAUCAAAACCUUGUGACUCAUCUUCCAGCUCUACCUAUAGACCAAAAAGUACCCACAAAUACCUUUGACAGUGGUGGUAUUUCACAUAAUACAACUGUUUACACAGAUCCUGGAAGAUUUCACAGUGCUGUUCUAGGACCCCACAUGCCUGGAAAUGGUUUCUCCAACAGGACAGUGCUCAGUCAAGCCACUGGAAUUAUUCAUGGUGGUCUGACUUACAGUAAUAUUCCAAACUCUGCAUAUUCACCAAUGGUGAUGGCAGUUCAUAACAAUUCUGCAGUUCCCUGUAAUAUAAGACAGGACUCUUGUAUGAAAGUAGAUGCCACUGUCCCUGCCUAUUGCCAUUCUUUGCCCAUACCAUCUAUACAGCUUGUUCCACGGUUGGUGUGCUCAGUUAGCGAGUCGGGAAAAGAGCAAGCAACACCUGACUAUUUUCAUUCCUUUUCCACUUCAGACAUUCUCACCUAUCCUAAGCUUGUGUCUUCAGUAAGUGAAUCAGGCCUGGAUGCCAAGAGAGUCCUGAAGUGCUGUAGCGUUCCUGGAGAACAACUACAACAUGCUCAACGCUGUGCUCAGCAGGAGAGAGCUUCUCCAGAAACACAGACUGCUUGUGUUGCUUUUAGCAGCCAGCUAACAACAGACAUAGCAAUGAAAACUAAAGAUAUGUGGACUAUGACCUCUGCAAAUGAUUUAACCAAGGGACUGAAAUCGGCUCUUGAACGCAGAGAUGCCGAGGUACAAACUCUUCCAACCAUGGAAUGCAAAUCUGUGGCAACAAGCCCAGCAGCUUCAGCAGAAGGCCACUCACAUGUGUUCCCAGAGGUAAACCUGGAGCAAGACUUGGAGGCUCCCAAGUCUCCGGUACGGGAAGUGAGAUGGGAUGAUGAAGGAAUGACAUGGGAAGUGUAUGGGGCAUCUGUGGAUCCAGAAGUCCUUGGUUUAGCCAUUCAAAAACAUCUUGAGAUUCAAAUAGAACAAUUCCAAACAGAGCCUGUUCAACGGACUGGGAAAAAUGAUGAGGAUCCUCUCAACAAGGAGCCGUCUUCUGACAAAAUGGGGAAGAAAAGACCAUUCAGAACAAUGAUGCAUUCUCUGAGAUAUCCGAGCUGUUGUGCUCGAUCAAGUACUGCGGUGGAGUGAGCAUAGCUCUAGGACAGCCACAGCCAUGUUGGGGUUUUUUGUUUGUUUGUUUUCUCAAUUGUAAAUAAAUGCUGUCUCUCAAGCGUUAACACAGUACAUGUGGACAAUCCGCUUAUGGAUAAGUGGGAAAAGUUCAGUGGCCAUCAAAAAGCAAAGCGUGGAAAAACCCACAGUUGAGCUAUGUAACAGAGGACAUACAGUUUUAUCUUCCUCAUGCCAUCUGAUUGUGUUGACUGUAUUUAGUGUAGCACUCUUAUUCUUCUAUGUUAAUUUUACAUCAUAUUUUAAGGAAUUAGACUUAUUUUAUAAAUGAUGCAUCUUUUAAAAAUAAUGUUGAAUUUUUUAGUAUUUUCAUGAUUUAGGGCUAGGAAACAAAGUUAGAAAAUGAUGCUUUAAUAUACAUUCUUAGCUUUCCACCCUACUCCCUAAGUUUUGGGAUUCGUUUUGCUGUUAAUUUAUGCUAAUGCUGACUAUAAACCCACUUGAGCUGUAGAUAAAAUGAGAAACUAGUGUAAUACUAUAUUACAAAUAAUUGUAACUUUUGCUACAUAAUUCUGCCAUGUCAUUUCAGUAUUACUAGCCAGAACUCAUCCCUUUGCAAGCUGGUGUGUAGUUGGAGGAUGCUCCUGCAACUUUCAUGUAGUUAUGCCGAAUUACAAUCUGAACAUACAGAUGUGAUGUUUACUAACACAGAUGUAAAGUAUUACCAAAGAUGACUCAUGUUCUGUGAAUUACUUACUGAGUGCUUGUUUUCUGAAACAAAAGCUGUUCAUAUUAGUCUGUCACCUGAUCAUAUUCUACAAAUCAGAAGCGGUUUGGGUUUUCUUAUAUUAAAAAUAAUUUCCAUCGAGUUCUUUGUAUGUGCAUCUAUCCUGAACAGUGGUAGUUUUGCUGUGGCAUAAACCACAGAGAACAGUUUGCAUCUAAUCUUUGCCUGUCUUGUGUUCCCUUUCUGCUCUGAUGUCAGCUGUCUGCUGGAAGUGAGACUUUGUGUCUUUACCAAAGUACAGCUAAAACUAAGAUUGUUCCUUCUGAGUGCCUUGGUCACAUGGGCAGCUUCAAGAUUUCCUUUUUCCCCAAAAACUAUUUAAAAAAAAUCCCAGUGAAAAACUUCUGUAUACCAUAGUGCAGAACCUGUUUGAACUGAAAGAUUUGUCAAGAAAGCCGAAUGCCUGCUCUGGAAUAAGCUUCUCUUCACUUCUAGGCAUAGCUUAGGAAAUGUUUGCUGCACUGCCGAGCCAAAAAUCUCUUUGGAAUGAUGUUGCACGUGGUCCUCUGAGACUACUGCUGUGAGUGGGAGGAAAGUGCAGUCACAUGUUCUGUGCUCAGAGGUAACCACAGAAGUUUCAGAGGAAAAAAAGGCAUCUCUACUGUACAGACUGGAUGCAGAGUCUUUGAAACUGCACAUUUUUUCAGAGACAAUGUCUGGACACAAGUCUGACUGCUCUCCCUGAACCUGCAUCUGAACUGUCCUCAAAGCAGCCAAACAGAAAGCUGCUGUCUUGCCCUGUCCCCUGAACCAGUCAGUUGCAAGGUGGGAGGCAUGAGGGCUUUCAGUCCCAAAUCCAGCUCUUCAGGAAACCACAGAUGUCUGAAAUGUGAACAGUGAGCUCUGCCUACACUUGCACGGUUUGGACCAGAACAAGUAACAGAUUUGUGCAUUUCUCUGUUGAACACCUACCACAGACAUUGGGUUCUCAGUGCGGCACGUUGCU